ACCCCCCAGGCCCCUAAUUUGCAUAUGCAAAUGAGCCCCGGGGGCCGGGGCCGCUCACCCGGCGCCGCCGCCGCUCUCCGCAGCGACCCGGAAGUGAACCCGGGGCCGACUUCCGGUUUCCGCUGAGAGAGGGCGGAAGUGACGCCAACUCCGGGCGGAAGUGCCUCCCGGAACGGCGUCGCGGUGCUGGCAGCUCUUAAAGGCGCCGCGUCCCGAAUUUUUAGCCCCGCCCCCUCCCCCUGAGACCCCCCCCAAACCCCUCAAAAACGCCGAAAUCGCCCCAAAAAUCCCCCCUCCCCCCCCCCAACCCCUAAGAAAAAGGCGGGUUCCUCGUGGGCCGUUUUUGGCUGUUUUUCACCCAAAAAAGAACCCGGGGGGGGAGAGGGGGGAGGGGGCGGGGUCAGGGGAGGGGGCGGAGUCUGUUAAAUAAGCGGGGGCGGGGCCAGGCGGCUGUCAAUCAAAUGGGGCUGUCAAUCAAACGGGGCUGUCAAUCAAAAUGGAGCUGUCAAUCAAAUGGAGCUGUCAAUCAAAUUGAGCUGUCAAUCAAACCUAUUCAUCAAAUUGAGCUGUCAAUCAAAGGGAUAUCAAUCAAAUUGAGCUGUCAAUCAAAGAGCUAUCAAUCAAACGGAGCUGUCAAUCAAUUCUAUCCUUCAAAUUGAGCUGUCAAUCAAACACACGGCAUCAAAUUGAUCUGUCAAUCAAGCAGCCAUCACUCCAAUGGGGCUGUCAAUCAAUCCUAUCCAUCAAAUCGAGCUGUCAAUCAAAGCUAUUCAUCAAAUUAUGCUGUCAAUCAAAGGGAUAUCAAUCAA
rnacentral:lncRNA from 1 species